AUAUAAGAAGUAAUUAUUUACAAUUUAAUUUCGACUUAAAUAUUGAUUUAUAAAAAUCCUUAUAUU
rnacentral:tRNA from 1 species